AGCGAACGCUGGCGGCAGGCUUAACACAUGCAAGUCGAACGGGCGUAGCAAUACGUCAGUGGCAGACGGGUGAGUAACGCGUGGGAACGUACCUUUUGGUUCGGAACAACCCAGGGAAACUUGGGCUAAUACCGGAUAAGCCCUUACGGGGAAAGAUUUAUCGCCGAAAGAUCGGCCCGCGUCUGAUUAGCUAGUUGGUGAGGUAACGGCUCACCAAGGCGACGAUCAGUAGCUGGUCUGAGAGGAUGAUCAGCCACAUUGGGACUGAGACACGGCCCAAACUCCUACGGGAGGCAGCAGUGGGGAAUAUUGGACAAUGGGCGCAAGCCUGAUCCAGCCAUGCCGCGUGAGUGAUGAAGGCCCUAGGGUUGUAAAGCUCUUUUGUGCGGGAAGAUAAUGACGGUACCGCAAGAAUAAGCCCCGGCUAACUUCGUGCCAGCAGCCGCCGCUGUAAU
rnacentral:rRNA from 1 species